GGCCUCAAAUCAGACAAGAGUACCCGCUGAACUUAAGCAUAUCAAUAAGCGGAGGAAAAGAAACUAACAAGGAUUCCCCUAGUAACGGCGAGUGAAGCGGGAACAGCUCAAAUUUUAAAUCUGGCUGCUUUGUAGUCCGAGUUGUAAUUUGAAGGAGUCUUGCCGCUGGCAAAAACGAUGGCACAAGUCCUCUGGAACGGGGCAUCGUAGAGGGUGAGAAUCCCGUCUCUGGUCAUCACGCGCUGGCAUACGGCAGGCAUCCGAAGAGUCGAGUUGUUUGGGAUUGCAGCUCCAAAUGGGUGGUAAACUCCAUCUAAGGCUAAAUAUUGGCGAGAGACCGAUAGCGAACAAGUACCGUGAGGGAAAGAUGAAAAGAACUUUGAAAAGAGAGUAAAACAGUACGUGAAAUUGUUGAAAGGGAAACGAUUGAAG
rnacentral:rRNA from 1 species